ACAAAAAAAAAACAAAAAAAAAUAAAAAAGUGUUCUAGAAUAUUCUCUAUGUGUGCCUUGGCCUUAUGCCAAUAGGAUAUGUAGUUAGACUAGAUUUAUGUAUUCAUAUCCUUACCAUAUUGGUAUUGUGUAAUUCCCUAUAUAAAGGGCUCAUAUCAAUAAUAAGAUGAUGAUUCUCUUGCUAUCUCUUUGUCUCGACCAUUAAUCCUUCAUCACGUUAUCAUGCACUUUUUUCUAACCCUAGAGCCAAUAGCCCACCAUUUUUUUUUCUAAACCCUAAAAACCAAAACCCUAAAAUCGGGCAGCCUUGUUUUUCCCGAUUUCUGAGCAAAAUUCCGACUGCCCUCCGCCGGAAUUUUAUAUCCCCAGAAAGCUCUCUCCGCCCCGGAUCCAACGCCGCCGGUCUCACCCUGAGAACCGGCCGGAAAGUCUCCGAACCGGCCGCCGGAAGAUUCCAGACCGCCGCCGCUACCGACCACCGGUUCACCACCUUCCCUUGCUCCGAUCAACCUGAAAUUUUGACAGCAGCUUCCCCAUCUAGAGCUGCUCCUCCUAUCAAAUUUUCAGCCCCAAAUUCGAAGUAUAAGUAGGCGAAACGUUAUUUCUCCUCUCGGCAGCCUCUAGAAAUGUAUGUUUUUUGAAACCUUAAACUUUUCCAAGUUCAAUAACUCGGGGAGGAUAAAAUCUUUUCCUCCCUUCUCCAUCUCCAUUCUAUGCUUGGGAUUUUUGCGUGCAGGUACCUAAAUCCCGGAAUUUUAUUCGCGAGUCAAGAGUGUGUUUGAUCACUCUUGUUUCUUUGUCCGGGUUGUGUUUGAUCAACCCCGACCUUUUCACCGGAUUGUGUUUGAUCAAUCCGAGGCCUUUUUCCGAAUUGUGUUUGAUCAAUUUCGCGGCUUUUCCGGAUUGUGUAUGAUCAAUCCGAAGG
rnacentral:lncRNA from 1 species